GAGGAAGUAGAGAGAAGUGUUAAAGUGUGUGAUCUGGCAAGCCAUCUGCGUGAUCCAAUCAUGAAGACAUAUUUCCUGUUCCUGAGUGCUAAAUUCAGCCUUUAUCUGAAUUUAACAUUGCCUUCCAGUCAGAGGGAGUACAAAUUCACGGACUUGAAGAGGAGAUGUGCAGGCUGAUAAAGAGGAUCCUGGGCUACCUCAUACCAGCCAGGGCAAUCGUGGGUGUACCUCUCAGGGAGGUGGAGUAUGGAGAUGGACAUCAGUUGGCUGAUGAAGAUCUCUUUAUCGGAGCAGACACAAAGGCAUUCAUGAGAAGCGCUGAGCUCCCUGUGUCAGCCGAGAAGAAAAUCUUUCAAACUGUGAGAAGCUUCUAUGAGGCAGUGCUUAAGAAGAUGUUCUCCACCUUUCCCCUCGACCAUCCACUCCUGAGGGACCUGAAAGUGCUGGACCCUGCAGCUCGCCUUAACAUAACUCCAGG